GAUGAACGCUGGCGGCGUGCCUAAUACAUGCAAGUCGAGCGAACGGACGAGAAGCUUGCUUCUCUGAUGUUAGCGGCGGACGGGUGAGUAACACGUGGAUAACCUACCUAUAAGACUGGGAUAACUUCGGGAAACCGGAGCUAAUACCGGAUAAUAUUUUGAACCGCAUGGUUCAAAAGUGAAAGACGGUCUUGCUGUCACUUAUAGAUGGAUCCGCGCUGCAUUAGCUAGUUGGUAAGGUAACGGCUUACCAAGGCAACGAUGCAUAGCCGACCUGAGAGGGUGAUCGGCCACACUGGAACUGAGACACGGUCCAGACUCCUACGGGAGGCAGCAGUAGGGAAUCUUCCGCAAUGGGCGAAAGCCUGACGGAGCAACGCCGCGUGAGUGAUGAAGGUCUUCGGAUCGUAAAACUCUGUUAUUAGGGAAGAACAUAUGUGUAAGUAACUGUGCACAUCUUGACGGUACCUAAUCAGAAAGCCACGGCUAACUACGUGCCAGCAGCCGCGGUAAUACGUAGGUGGCAAGCGUUAUCGGAAAUUAUUGGGCGUAAAGCGCGCGUAGGCGGUUUUUUAGUCUGAUGUGAAAGCCCACGGCUCAACCGUGGAGGGUCAUUGGAAACUGGAAAACUUGAGUGCAGAAGAGGAAAGUGGAAUUCCAUGUGUAGCGGUGAAAUGCGCAGAGAUAUGGAGGAACACCAGUGGCGAAGGCGACUUUCUGGUCUGUAACUGACGCUGAUGUGCGAAAGCGUGGGGAUCGAACAGGAUUAGAUACCCUGGUAGUCCACGCCGUAAACGAUGAGUGCUAAGUGUUAGGGGGUUUCCGCCCCUUAGUGCUGCAGCUAACGCAUUAAGCACUCCGCCUGGGGAGUACGACCGCAAGGUUGAAACUCAAAGGAAUUGACGGGGACCCGCACAAGCGGUGGAGCAUGUGGUUUAAUUCGAAGCAACGCGAAGAACCUUACCAAAUCUUGACAUCCUUUGACAACUCUAGAGAUAGAGCCUUCCCCUUCGGGGGACAAAGUGACAGGUGGUGCAUGGUUGUCGUCAGCUCGUGUCGUGAGAUGUUGGGUUAAGUCCCGCAACGAGCGCAACCCUUAAGCUUAGUUGCCAUCAUUAAGUUGGGCACUCUAAAUUGACUGCCGGUGACAAACCGGAGGAAGGUGGGGAUGACGUCAAAUCAUCAUGCCCCUUAUGAUUUGGGCUACACACGUGCUACAAUGGACAAUACAAAGGGCAGCGAAACCGCGAGGUCAAGCAAAUCCCAUAAAGUUGUUCUCAGUUCGGAUUGUAGUCUGCAACUCGACUACAUGAAGCUGGAAUCGCUAGUAAUCGUAGAUCAGCAUGCUACGGUGAAUACGUUCCCGGGUCU
rnacentral:rRNA from 1 species